CGGGCUGCUGGCGAUAACGGCUCCGAAGCAAAAAGAAGCCAAGAAAUGCGUUUGGAAACCAGUUCUUCCUCAAAUGAAAGGAGCCCUCCCUUCCCAAGGACUGAAAUCAAGAAGGGAACGGUGACCGCUAUAAAAUCCAAAGGUAAGAACGCAGUGUCGCGCUGGUUACAAUUAAACAUCCUUCUAAGCAGGUCACGCGUUACCGUAUUGAGGAAACGCAUCCGUUGCUCCUCGCGCCGUGCCGGGGCGCUGCAGAGCGGCGGUGCCUGGGACACGAGUGACAGCCACACGCAACAGCUCUUGUCAUUUACUUUUUCCCCCC
rnacentral:lncRNA from 1 species